UCACUGAAAAAUAAUGUUCCAAAUCUCCAUUCCAAUAAAAGCUCGAUAUUUUAGUUAUUUAUGUUUAUUUAAUAUCUAAUGUAAAGAAUCAGCCGCAAACUAUGCAGAAUCAGAGGGGUCGGUGAUAAUAAAAAUGCGAACGAAAUGAGAGAGCGCGAACGAGAGAGUCGGUCCCAAAAAAGAUGACACGUGCAGGUGGAUGAUCGAUUGAAGGAGAAAGUGAGGGUUGGAAUUACACUCUGAAAGCGGAAAUAAUAAACCAGAGUUAAUAUUUAUGGACCAAAUAGAAGAUAUUUCAUCAGAUUAUAUUCUUCAUAAAAAUGAAAAUUGCAUACAAAUUCGCAUUAACGACGGCGGUCGAGACGGUCGUAUCAUUUUAACUAAUUCGGAUGAAAUAGGUUUAAAGGAAUGGGCCUUUUCCCUCAGGUCUGCACAUAAGAUGUCUCAAGAUCUAUUAGGAUCCAUGGCUAAAAAGGCUGGAAAAAUUUAUGGAAGUGAACGAGAUGCCAACAAAUCUAUGCUUAUACUUGGAGGAAAUUGUUCAACCAAAACUUCUAAUGGCCCCAACUAAAUAUUCAUAUUAAAUCAAAAUUUAAUUUCAAAUAUCCAUUGUAAAAGUUAAAAAAAAAAUAAAAUAC